rnacentral:lncRNA from 1 species
CUCAGCUUGGACAGCGAGGGAAGAUGCUCCCUUGGAACAAGAAAAAAUAUCAACUCUUCUGACUUCUGUGGCUUUUCCACGGGCUCCAGGUGUUCCUAUAGAACAGUAAGACUGGUUUACUGUUCCUCACAAGCUGAAAGGUACAUCAGUAAAAUGCACUUGGGUGCCUAUUGUGCAUGUGGAAAGGUGAAGAAAGCAUUUGUGAACCAGCAAAUUCUCAGGUAUGUCUAGUACCCAUUGUAUGGUUAAAUAAGAAAACUGGAAAGUCUUAACCUUUUCAGCUGUG